rnacentral:rRNA from 1 species
UGGCCUUUUAGAUUGUCUAAACUCCCAACCCAUGUGAACUUACCUUUUGUUGCCUCGGCAGAAGUUAUAGGUCUUCUUAUAGCUGCUGCCGGUGGACCAUUAAACUCUUGUUAUUUUAUGUAAUCUGAGCGUCUUAUUUUAAUAAGUCAAAACUUUCAACAACGGAUCUCUUGGUUCUGGCAUCGAUGAAGAACGCAGCGAAAUGCGAUAAGUAAUGUGAAUUGCAGAAUUCAGUGAAUCAUCGAAUCUUUGAACGCACAUUGCGCCCAUUAGUAUUCUAGUGGGCAUGCCUGUUCGAGCGUCAUUUCAACCCUUAAGCCUAGCUUAGUGUUGGGAAUCUACUUCUCUUAGGAGUUGUAGUUCCUGAAAUACAACGGCGGAUUUGUAGUAUCCUCUGAGCGUAGUAAUUUUUUUCUCGCUUUUGUUAGGUGCUAUAACUCCCAGCCGCUAAACCCCCAAUUUUUUGUGGUUGACCUCGGAUCAGGUAGGAAUACCCGCUGAACUUAAGCAUAUCAAUAAGCGGAGGAA